CCUACGGGAGGCAGCAGUGGGGAAUAUUGCACAAUGGGGGAAACCCUGAUGCAGCGACGCCGCGUGAGUGAAGAAGUGCUUCGUUAUGUAAAGCUCUAUCAGCAGGGAAGAACAUGACGGUACCUGAGUAAGAAGCCACGGCUAACUACGUGCCAGCAGCCGCGGUAAUCCGUAGGGGGCAAGCGUUAUCCGGAUUUACUGGGGGUAAAGGGAGCGUAGACGGCAGUGCAAGCCUGGCGUGAAAGGCGGGGGCUCAACCCCCGGACUGCUCUUGAAACUGUACGGCUGGAGUGCAGGAGGGGUAAGUGGAAGUCCUAGUGUAGCGGUGAAAUGCGUAGAUAUCAGGAGGAACACCAGUGGCGAAGGCGGCUUACUGGACUGUAACUGACGUUGAGGCUCGAAAGCGUGGGGAGCAAACAGGAUUAGAUACCCUUGUAGUC
rnacentral:rRNA from 1 species